rnacentral:rRNA from 1 species
AGCGAACGCUGGCGGCAGGCCUAACACAUGCAAGUCGAACGAACUCUUCGGAGUUAGUGGCGGACGGGUGAGUAACACGUGGGAACGUGCCUUUUGGUUCGGAAUAACUCAGGGAAACUUGUGCUAAUACCGAAUGUGCCCUUCGGGGGAAAGAUUUAUCGCCAUUAGAGCGGCCCGCGUCUGAUUAGCUAGUUGGUGAGGUAACGGCUCACCAAGGCGACGAUCAAUAGCUGGUCUGAGAGGAUGACCAGCCACACUGGGACUGAGACACGGCCCAGACUCCUACGGGAGGCAGCAGUGGGGAAUCUUGCGCAAUGGGCGAAAGCCUGACGCAGCCAUGCCGCGUGAAUGAUGAAGGUCUUAGGAUUGUAAAAUUCUUUCACCGGGGACGAUAAUGACGGUACCCGGAGAAGAAGCCCCGGCUAACUUCGUG